rnacentral:misc_RNA from 1 species
UACGGAGGGUGCGAGCGUUGUCCGGAAUCACUGGGCGUAAAGGGCGCGUAGGCGGCGGUGCAAGGCUGUGGUGAAAGCCCGGGGCUCAACCCCGGGUCUGCCGUGGCGACUGCAUCGCUUGAGCACUGUAGAGGCAGGUGGAAUUCCGGGUGUAGCGGUGGAAUGCGUAGAGAUCCGGAAGAACACCGGUGGCGAAGGCGGCCUGCUGGGCAGUGGCUGACGCUGAGGCGCGACAGCGUGGGGAGCAAACAGG